rnacentral:rRNA from 1 species
UACAGAGGUCUCAAGCGUUGCUCGGAAUUACUGGGCGUAAAGCGCACGUAGGCGGAUUGUUAAGUCGGGGGUGAAAUCCUGGAGCUCAACUCCAGAACUGCCUUCGAUACUGGCGAUCUCGAGUUCGGGAGAGGUGAGUGGAACUGCGAGUGUAGAGGUGAAAUUCGUAGAUAUUCGCAAGAACACCAGUGGCGAAGGCGGCUCACUGGAUCUCUUCUGACGCUGAGGCACGAAAGCUAGGGUAGCGAACGGGG